AAUUAGCAUAUAUUUAGAGAGAGAAACACUACAAAUAAGCAAAGAAGCAGAAAAACAAUGCCUCUUCUCUCCCUUCCUCACCAAAAUCGAUAAUUUUAAUUCUUCUUCUGAAAUCUGCGUCUCCAGUAUAAACCCCUCGUAACGUAAAAAACACCUAAGAGAAAAUCGCCAACGUUCUCUUCUCUCUCGCAUUUUGCUUUUUUUAUUUUUAUUUUUAUUUUUUUAGUUUAUUUUUCCUCAUCAAAUGGUGGUUAUGAUGGAGGAUAAUGACAGUUGUGGCAGCAGAGCUCACGAUACAACAACGACGUCUUCUUCUUCUUCGCCGUCGACUACGAUGUCAGUUACACAGGGACGGAAACAGAGACAGAAGUUAGAGGUUUACAAUGAGGUUCUUCGUCGACUCAAAGAGUCCAACAAUGAAGAAGCUAAUCGGCCUGGCUUCGACGACGAACUGUGGGCUCACUUUCAUCGUCUUCCUACUCGAUAUGCACUGGAUGUGAAUGUGGAGAGGGCAGAAGAUGUGCUUAUGCACAAGAGAUUACUGCAAUUGGCUCAUGAUCCUGAUAAUAGACCUGCUAUUGAAGUCCGCCUUGUGCAGGUUCAUCCUGUUUCUGAUGGGAAUUCAGCUGAUUCUAACCUUUCAGAAUCUCCUUGUAAAGGAACUGCCCAAAGUACUAGAAAAAGCAUACAUCCGCCACCUGCCUUUGGUUCAUCACCUAAUCUUGAAGCACUUGCACUUGAAGCAAGCAAAUCUGAAAAAGAAGAUGGUGAUCAUUCUGUGCAUGCAAAUUCAAAAUUUCCUCGGCCCAUGCAUGAAAUUACUUUUUCAGCAGAUGACAAGCCAAAACUUCUUAGUCAGUUGACUUCCUUACUUGCUGAGAUUGGGUUGAACAUUCAAGAAGCACACGCUUUCUCUACUACUGACGGCUACUCCUUGGAUGUCUUUGUGGUUGAUGGUUGGCCAUUUGAGGAAAUAGAGCAGCUCAGAAUAGCAUUGGAAAAGGAAGUUCUCAGGAUUGAGAAGCAGAAUUGGCCAAAUAAUCAUUCAUUAUCGCCUACUAGUGAGCAUGAGCAGACCCAAAUCGAUUGUAGUCCUGUUCAUGUCACUAUACCUAGUGAUGGGACUGACGUUUGGGAAAUUGAUCCUAAGAACUUGAAGUUUGAGAACAAAGUUGCAUCUGGGUCAUAUGGCGAUCUGUACAAGGGUACAUACUGCAGUCAGGAGGUGGCUAUUAAAAUCCUCAAGCCUGAGCGUAUAAAUUCGGAUUUGCAGAAAGAGUUUGCCCAGGAAGUCUUCAUAAUGAGGAAGGUUCGACAUAAGAAUGUUGUACAGUUUAUAGGUGCAUGUACCAAGCCUCCGAGUUUGUGCAUUGUAACAGAAUUUAUGUCUGGUGGAAGCGUAUAUGAUUAUCUACACAAACAGAAGGGUAUUUUUAAGCUUCCAUCCCUGCUUAAAGUAGCAAUAGACGUUUCCAAAGGAAUGAACUACUUGCACCAAAAUAAUAUAAUCCACAGGGAUUUGAAGGCUGCAAACCUUCUCAUGGAUGAAAAUGAAGUGGUUAAGGUUGCUGAUUUUGGGGUUGCGAGAGUAAAGGCUCAAUCUGGAGUUAUGACAGCUGAAACUGGGACCUAUAGAUGGAUGGCUCCUGAGUUGUUUUGCAUUGAAGGUCAUAGAACACAAACCAUAUGACCACAAGGCUGAUGUUUUUAGUUUCGGGAUUGUGCUGUGGGAGUUGUUAACUGGGAAGCUUCCAUACGAGUAUUUAACCCCAUUACAAGCAGCUGUUGGUGUGGUCCAAAAGGGACUACGACCUACAAUUCCAAAGAACACUAAUUCAAAACUGGCUGAGCUGCUUGAGAGAUGUUGGCAGCAAGAUCCAGCACUACGACCUGAUUUUGCCGAGAUUAUAGAGAUCUUGCGGCAAAUAAUGAAAGAGGUUGGAGAUGAAAGCGAUGGUCGCAAGGACAAAUCAUCUGGAGGAUUCCUCUCUGUCCUUAGAAGAGGGCACCACCACUGAAGUAGAUAUAAAGAUCCGUAACCUGAAGCAAUUGCUGCAAAUCAUCUUUCGUCCAUGACGCCAUCAUUGCUGUACAGUAUUUAUUCAAAACGAUCUAUCUUUUUUUAUUUUAUUUUUAUUUUUUCCUUCAGAGAAUACAAUUUAAGACCAAUCGUUCCAUUUUCACAUUGUUUGAUCACAGCAUUAAUCUGUAGUUAGGGAUUGUGUCGCAGAUGAACCUUUGUAAGACUGACCAUAUAUCCAGCGGCUUUAUGAAAAAAGAUAGUACUUUGAGCAUUUAUGUCAAUAA